UACGGGGGGGGCAAGCGUUGUUCGGAAUUACUGGGCGUAAAGGGCUCGUAGGCGGCCAACUAAGUCAGACGUGAAAUCCCUCGGCUUAACCGGGGAACUGCGUCUGAUACUGGACGGCUUGAGUUUGGGAGAGGGACGCGGAAUUCCAGGUGUAGCGGUGAAAUGCGUAGAUAUCUGGAGGAACACCGGUGGCGAAGGCGGCGUCCUGGACCAACACUGACACUGAGGAGCGAAAGCCAGGGGAGCAAACGGG
rnacentral:rRNA from 1 species